rnacentral:lncRNA from 1 species
AGUAGUUACACGAUAUGAUUUACAGGGCCACUGUGGCGACGUACAGUUGUGGCUAUAGUAUAUAUAUAGGACCAUUAUAGUUGACACGGUCGUAGUCAUAGAGCGUGCUAUGGUUUGGCAAGCCGUAAAUGUACUAUGGUUUAGCAAGCCAUAAAUGUACUGUGGUUUGGUAAGCCAUAAAUAUGUUGUGGUUUAGCAAGCUGUAAAUGUGUUGAGGUGAAAAGAACUUUGCCAUUUCAUAGUGGUAAUCAAAAAUUCGUAUUGCCCUCAGUAGAUAUAGAUCAGAAUGGCUUCAGGUGAAGAAUAGGUAAAAGAUUAAACAAGAAGUCAUAACAUGAUUCAUAUUAUUUGAUUUUCUCUAUUCUAUGCAUGAUUGAUA